rnacentral:sRNA from 1 species
UGUUUUAGGACGUCGCCCCGAUAAAA